rnacentral:rRNA from 1 species
UACGAAGGGUGCAAACGUUGCUCGGAAUUAUUGGGCGUAAAGCGCACGUAGGCGGCUUGGCAAGUCGGAUGUGAAAUCCCUCGGCUCAACCAAGGAAGUGCAUCCGAAACUGCUGAGCUUGAGUACUUAAGAGGAUCGCGGAAUUCCCGGUGUAGAGGUGAAAUUCGUAGAUAUCGGGAGGAACACCAGUUGCGAAGGCGGCUGACUGGACACAUAUUGACGCUGAGGCUCGAAAGCAUGGGGAGCAAACAGG